rnacentral:tRNA from 1 species
UAUUUAAUGGAGACAAUUGCAUUAGAUAUAGA